AGCGAGUUAGGAAGAGGAAGAAAUUGAGUGUCUAAGAACAGUGGGAAUGGAAACAUUAAGGAAAGCCUACAGUAUUUUCUUCUCCACUAGAAUUAGGGGUGGAGAUAAUUCUUUUGUGUUUUCCUAAUGCUUCCCAUUCCUAUUGUUGUUAGAUACUCCUUCCUCUUCCUUUUGGCU
rnacentral:pre_miRNA from 1 species